rnacentral:rRNA from 1 species
UGGUAUACGGAGUUAACUCCCAACCCAUGUGACAUACCUACUGUUGCUUCGGCGGGAUUGCCCCGGGCGCCUCGUGUGCCCCGGAUCAGGCGCCCGCCUAGGAAACUUAACUCUUGUUUUAUUUUGGAAUCUUCUGAGUAGUUUUUACAAAUAAAUAAAAACUUUCAACAACGGAUCUCUUGGUUCUGGCAUCGAUGAAGAACGCAGCGAAAUGCGAUAAGUAAUGUGAAUUGCAGAAUUCAGUGAAUCAUCGAAUCUUUGAACGCACAUUGCGCCCGCCAGUAUUCUGGCGGGCAUGCCUGUCUGAGCGUCAUUUCAACCCUCAUGCCCCUAGGGCGUGGUGUUGGGGAUCGGCCAAAGCCCGCGAGGGACGGCCGGCCCCUAAAUCUAGUGGCGGACCCGUCGUGGCCUCCUCUGCGAAGUAGUGAUAUUCCGCAUCGGAGAGCGACGAGCCCCUGCCGUUAAACCCCCAACUUUCCAAGGUUGACCUCAGAUCAGGUAGGAAUACCCGCUGAACUUAAGCAUAUCAAA